rnacentral:rRNA from 1 species
UUUAAUUGAAGACUAACUACUGCGAAAGCAUUUGCCAAGGAUGUUUUCAUUAAUCAGUGAACGAAGUUAGGGGAUCGAAGACGAUCAGAUACCGUCGUAGUCUUAACCAUAAACUAUGCCGACUGGGGAUCGGCGAUGUAUUUUUGACUCGCUCGGCACCCUACGAGAAAUCAAAGUCUUUGGGUUCUGGGGGAGUAUGGUCGCAAGGCUGAAACUUAAGAAAUUGACGGAAGGGCACCACCAGGAGUUAGCAGUCUCUGCUCCCUAUAGUUAUCCACCCAGUGGACGUGGUAGCCUGUAGAUUAACUAGUCAGUGUACUGGCAACAUCUCUACCUUGCGUGGACGUCCUGCGGGACGUACCCGCAGCCUGUAAUCAGCUUUGGUUCACAGAUCAAGUAGGGGUGGGCAGGCCGCUAUAGCAGCCUGUUUGAGAUAUGAUCGGUCGUUCGGUGGGAGCUGAUCGAGUAUAACGGGAGCCUGCGGCUUAAUUUGACUCAACACGG